rnacentral:ncRNA from 1 species
UGAUAGCUGUGAAGCGAGAGGUUGCUGCCCAUAUAUGGCAGGUUUUCCGCGGAGCGAAUGUCAAGUUAGGAAACUGGCGACAA